rnacentral:rRNA from 2 species
GCUUAUAAUGCAAGUCGAGCGAAUGACGAGGAGCUUGCUCCUCUGAUUUAGCGGCGGACGGGUGAGUAACACGUGGGUAAUCUGCCUGUAAGACGGGGAUAACUCCGGGAAACCGGGGCUAAUACCGGAUAAUAAGAAAAAAAGCAUUUUUUUUUUUUGAAAGUCGGUUUCGGCUGACACUUACAGAUGAGCCCGCGGCGCAUUAGCUAGUUGGUGAGGUAACGGCUCACCAAGGCGACGAUGCGUAGCCGACCUGAGAGGGUGAUCGGCCACACUGGGACUGAGACACGGCCCAGACUCCUACGGGAGGCAGCAGUAGGGAAUCUUCGGCAAUGGGCGAAAGCCUGACCGAGCAACGCCGCGUGAGCGAUGAAGGCCUUCGGGUCGUAAAGCUCUGUUGUUAGAGAAGAACAAGUACGAGAGUAACUGCUCGUACCUUGACGGUACCUAACCAGAAAGCCACGGCUAACUACGUGCCAGCAGCCGCGGUAAUACGUAGGUGGCAAGCGUUAUCCGGAAUUAUUGGGCGUAAAGCGCGCGCAGGCGGUCUCUUAAGUCUGAUGUGAAAGCCCACGGCUCAACCGUGGAGGGUCAUUGGAAACUGGGAGACUUGAGUGCAGGAGAGAAAAGUGGAAUUCCACGUGUAGCGGUGAAAUGCGUAGAGAUGUGGAGGAACACCAGUGGCGAAGGCGGCUUUUUGGCCUGUAACUGACGCUGAGGCGCGAAAGCGUGGGGAGCAAACAGGAUUAGAUACCCUGGUAGUCCACGCCGUAAACGAUGAGUGCUAGGUGUUGGGGGGUUCCACCCUCAGUGCUGAAGUUAACACAUUAAGCACUCCGCCUGGGGAGUACGACCGCAAGGUUGAAACUCAAAGGAAUUGACGGGGGCCCGCACAAGCAGUGGAGCAUGUGGUUUAAUUCGAAGCAACGCGAAGAACCUUACCAGGUCUUGACAUCCUCUGACUACUCUAGAGAUAGAGCUUUCCCCUUCGGGGACAGAGUGACAGGUGGUGCAUGAUUGUCGUCAGCUCGUGUCGUGAGAUGUGGGUUAAGUCCCGCAACGAGCGCAACCCUUUGACCUUAGUUGCCAGCAUCCAGUUUGAC